rnacentral:lncRNA from 1 species
CUUCAUUCAAACUAUUUUGUUUAAAAGCAACAGAACAAUAAUUCAGUUAAACAAUACAAUUGUCACAAAAGCUAUUAUAAUAUGAAAAUUAGGCAUUCCAAUCACCAAUUUAACAUUCUCCACACCUUGAACAUAACCCUACAAUUAAUACCUAUUGUACAAGCCCAAUAAUGCCCGGGCCCAUAUAAAACAAAGCACAGCCCAAAUUUAACCCAAUUAAACCAGCCCAACAUAGUAAAGCUAAGCAGAAAACCCUAGCCUAGGUAGCACCAGCAGUAAGUAGCGCUGCAAGCCCUGCCUCCAGCAGCCUCUCCAAGCGCCGUAGGACUCGGAGAUUAGCCCCUCCACGCGCGCCAUUCGCACAACCACCUGCAAAUAAAAACGGACUAAGAGUCCACAAUAGGAGGAUUGUAAACUAAUGUAUUUUGGUAGGCUAUAAAAGCCUAGAUCUAUAACAAGGAGAGGGGACGGAUAGACAGGGAAAUAGACAAAAAAAAAUUGAAAGAAAAAGAGAUUACUGUAAAUUGAGGGAGAAACAGUGAAAUAAAAUCAGAAGAGGUGAAUUUCAUCUUAGUUUUUUUUUUAUUUCUUUGUUUGUUUUAUUUAUUUUCAGAUUUUUCGUAUAUUAAAUAAAAAAUAAAAGGGAGUAUCACCUUCAAGGAUACGCCGUUAAAACUCGAGCCUGCUUCACCUGAAUCGGGGUUGGGGGCCGGGAUUUGAAUCGGCCGGUCGGUUGAGAACGGCGGCGGCGCGGAGAACUGGUUGAAAACCCUAGCAGAGCUUUUGCUCUCUUCUUUUGUUUUUUUUUC